rnacentral:lncRNA from 1 species
UAGUAAGAGACAGUCAGGAUUUAAACAUGAGCCAAAUGACUGCAGUGCCCACAGUGUGAACUCCUCUGCCACACUGGGCUUGGGACCUGACACUGUCUGCCAUGACAGCAUGACUGGAGCUGGCUCCUUCAGGCCUUUGAGCUGCAGGUGCAGGAAAGAACAGAAAGCAACAUUAAGAAACAGAUGUAUACUCACCAGCGAGUUCUCUUAAACUGGAACAUCUUGCCAUAUUAGCUACAAAGGAGUUUAAAGAAAUGAAACGUUGUAGAUAGAGUUGAAGCCUGCAUUGUAACAACAGUAACAACAGAUAACCAUGAAUCCCUUGAGAUGUGCUGGACACUUCACAAAUAUUGAUCAGCUCAUUCAAUCCCUGCAACUGUUUGAGGUUUCUUGUGAGGAUUAAACGGAAGAAUGUUUAUGAAGUAAGUGGAAAAUAAAGUUAAAAGAAGAGAAAAGAUUGAUUUGCAACCUCUGGGCUUUACUUCCGUCAUCUGAAGUUGGGAUCUACUCAGGUUUCCCAUCCUGAAGUCCACAUUUCACUGGGAAAUAGGGUCGUGUUCUCAGCAGCGCUUGACACUAACAGAACAAAUACCCAGUGUGGAUUUAUACGUGAGCGUCAAUUUUAUGUGUGGAUUUUGGUGAAAAAAAAAUUAAGUGAUUUAAAAAU